UAGCUCUUCGUCCCCUCCGCCCACUCCACCUGCGUUUCCAGCAAGUCUCGCGCCUCCGGCAAGCCCUGUGCCUCCGUCUUCAUCGGAAGCGAGCCCCAGGCCUCCGCCGCCUGUGGCUCUAGCACCCCCCACGGGUGGCUUCGCUGCAGGCCAGUAACUUCGUCCCCUCCGCCCCCUCCACCUGUGUUUCCAGCAAGCCUCGCGCCUCCGCCAAGCCCUGCGCCUCCGUCUUCAGCGGAAGCGAGCCCCGGGCCUCCGCCGCCUGUGGCUUUAGCACCCCCACGGGGGGCUUCGCUGCAGGCCAGUAACUUCUUUCCAGGGUAAAUUACAGAAGCACGACUAAGCAUUCGAGUUGUUUUAAGAAAUUAAGGAUAAUUAGGACAUCCUUUGUCUUCCUGCGUGCAUGUGUUCUUCUAUUUUCUUGGUGCAGGUUUAGAGAAAGACUCCAUGUAUUGCAUUUUCUUUCUUUUUAUUUUCUAUUGCCAGAUAAGUGAAAAAUGUUUAAGAAAGAAAUUCUCCUCUUUUGGAGCAAAUUAAGAGGUUAAUCUUUAAUGCUUCAACUCUGUUUCCCCUCAUUUUAUCUGCAUUUAUCCUAAAGAUAUUUUAACAUUGUUUGAUUCCUGCGCAAGUAGCAAACCUCAUCGCAUGAUGAGGUUGUUUUGUUUGUGUCUUAUCUGAUGAAGUUGUUAAGCUUCUUUGAAGUAGCUUAAACACCUAAUCUGAAAACUGCUUCUUUGAAGUAGCACCUCACGGCGGGCCUCUGCCGCCUGUGGCUCUAGCACCCCCACGGGGGUCUUCGCUGCAGGCUAGCGCACCUGCGCGUCGCCUCGUCGAGCCGCACGUGCGCGUCGCCUCGUCGAGCUGCACCUGCGCGUCGCCUCGUCGAGCCGCAGGUUCAAGCCGCACCUUCGCUGCAGGCGAGCCGCAGGUUCAAGCCGCACCUUCGCUACAGGUGAGCCGCAGGUUCAAGCCGCACCUUCGCCGCAGGUUCAAGCCGCACCUUCGCUGCAGGUGAGCUGCAGGUUCAAGCCGCACCUUCGCUGCAGGCUAGCCGCAGGUUCAAGCCGUCCCUGCGCGUCUACAGAUUCGACCCAACUCGUCCACCAUAUCUACGAGGUGUCAUCGUCGUGGUGGAAAUCGCUGAGAAAUCGCUGAAGAAUCGUAGGUUGCUGAAUUGGGGUCGGGUGGUGCACGAAAAGGGGCUUUUGCCACAACAACGUGAGAAUUCAAUUAUUCGGAAAGCUUUAUGAAGUAGGAGUACCGCUGAGCAUAGUUCGCGGUGAUUACCAUCAACUGGACAUGUGGUUUAAUGGGAAAUCAAGAGUGGAUUCGUCAUCUUUCGGAAGAUUGUCUACAAUAUUUAGCAAUGCCAUGAUUUAAAGAAAAAAGAGAAGGAACUCCAAGCAAAGGAGGCAGAACUAAGCAAGAGGGAAAAGGAACUUAAACGAAGGGAAGAGGCUGCAGCACGCGAUUUAUAAGAGGUGGUGACGAGAAAUAUUUUGGCAGGUCAUUGGCGAUGUAUUGAAUCAAGUUUAAGAAUUUAGAUAUAUUUUGAAACUUUACAUUUGAUAGCAUGUGGAAAUGAUCAAAAUACUAUUAUUGUGUUUUGUUUUUGGUUGUGUUGGGUGAUUGUAUUACUUAUAUAUGAUGAUUCAGUCUUACUUAUAUAUGUUGUCCCAAACUUUUAUCUGUUGUGAGAGAUACUUCGAUGCAAAAUGUAGGAUUUCUGCUUGUUGAU